UAUCAUUCAAAACGCGUAAGGCCAUUUACGCAGACAUCAUUAUGAAACUUAUAAUCUCGGACACUGUUGAUCGCCCACCAUGUUGUCACAAAUCUUCCUUCAACAGAAAAGAACGCAUAAGGUUGCUUCCUGUUUGAAUGUGAUUAUUUCUCAAAUCUCCACGGAGCAGCAAGAGAAAAUUGCAGACAGGAGGAAUUAAAUGCUCUCUGUAGUCAGAUAGAAUCUCAAAGCCUGACAUACACCCAAAUUUCGGACAUCAUUUUGGAAGUUUAGGUCCUCUAUUCUGUAUUCGGUAGUGUUCACAUGAAUAACUCUCAUAAUCUGUUCAAUUGACAUGAACCUUUUCUCUAUGGUUGCCAAAUCUUACUAAUCUUACUAAACAACCCUGUGUUCUUGAAAACAAAAAAGUACACUCAUGGAGGGAACAUCUUGCUUACUGUAGGUAAUCAUCUGUAUAACUGCAGUUAGAGAGUGCAAAUUCUCUGCAGGCAAAUUGAUUUUUCGAGAACAGACAAAGUCAGGAGUAAGAUGCAUAGAGGAAGAGAAUAGAUCAAGAAAUCUCACUUCUAUCAUUUUUGAACUGUCUUGCACUGUGUUUCUGAUUAAUGGUUAAGGAACUAAACUUAGAGGUUCAAAUUUACAGGUUCAUUUCUCAGGCCAGACACUGCUGUUGCACCCUUGAGUGAGAAAAUUAAGCUUAACUUCUUCAGUAAAUAUCCAGUGGUAUAAAUGGAUUGCAAAUAACACAAGCCCUUUAAGCUGCUGUAGGUAAGAGCAUCUACUAAAAUUUCCACAAAGGAUAGUCCUCAUUCUCUGGAACCAGGAUGGGAGGAUGGGUUUUAUAGGACUAUUUUACGGCUAAUUCUUUCGAAACCUCAGUGAAACCUCUAGCAUGAGUCUUAUGAGAUAAUAUUAUAUUUAUUUAUAUUAGUUCGAUAUUGAGGAUUACAUGGUAUUGCUUAUUUAUUUCAUGGACACAUUUGACUGAAUGACGUGCAUAGUUUAAACAUGUAAAUUCAAAAGCAGUCCUCUUCCCAGUAAUAUCUAUAGCCCCAUGCCUUCUUUAUGAGCACAAACAAAAAUAAAUGCAACUUGACUCCAAUACUUACAAGAAUAAAAGUGAUGUGGGCUUGCCGGAAUUACAAUGGAAUGAGUAUCAUGUCUUGUUAUCAAUCUUGCUUACAGGAAAAAUCUAGCUUUAUUAUAAAACCAGAGAUGCUGUUGUUUGAGGCUAGGCCAAAUUGAAUCAUUUUUGUGGAUAAAGAGCCAAUCUGUUCCUCUUUGCUCUGCCCAUUAUCAGUGUAACUGAAAAAGCCUGGAGUGCUGUCUGAAGUGCCUCUGUACAGUACAUGAAAAACUAAAAAUGGCUCCCUAGCCAAUAUGUCAGCAGCUGAAGUUUCAUGGAGUCCUGAAUUCCAUGUUAAUACAACAAUUCACAAACCAUGGCACAACUAACAUUGCCAACAAAAAUUGAGUGUAAACGCAUAAUUGCACAUUUGGCUGUGAAUUCAUUCUCCUUUUGAGAAUCUUUGAUUUUCUUUAAGCAUUCCUGAAACAGUAGAUGAAACUUCUGUGCAUGUAAUUUAAAACUACCCUAAAAUCUCAUUAUAAUGUGCAAUUUGGAAACUCAUGCCAACAAUCCAUAAACACCUUCACACUAGAAAAUGAAUCUCUUUCCCUGUGCUUAUAUAUAGCUACACUGUUAAAAAAAGCCUUCUUCAACUACAAAAUUGUAAGUUAUUGAUUACAAUGCACUUUUUAAAUUGGCUCAGUUUAGGUUCUUUGGAUGAUUAAAAAUUCUAUGCUCUGGUGACAAGCUUUUUAUGUUGGCGCAUCAGCCAAAAAUAAGUUUUGUAGGUCCAGUAAAAUAUUUGUGAACUACAUUUUAUUACUCCAUUCAAAUACAAAACCAAAAUGUCCAAGUUCAUCAGAAUUUUACACUGGGCCAACAUAAAAUACAGUAGAAAGGUGUUGGUGGACUAAAACUAAAUGAGGUGUGGAAAAAUUCCAUCCUUCUAUCAAUCAAUUUCUAUGUUGCUCUCUUCUGGUCAGGGGUUGUCAGGCAGCUGGGGCCUUUGGUGGGGCUAGGAUUUGUUAUCUAAAGCAGUGGUUCUCAAACUCGGUCCUGGGGGACCCCUGUGUAUGCUGGUUUUCAUUCCAACCUCAACAGCAAUCCCAGAAUUUUAACAAGCUGGGGUUCCAGAAAGGGCCAGUGUGGGUGCACAUACCUGAUUCUACUAAUCAAUCACUAGAGUCAUUGCUAAGCACCUUGAUUAGUAGAAUCAGGAUCAGGUGUGUGCACUCACACUGGCCCUUUCUGGAUAAGACUGAUCUAAAGAAUCAACUUUAAAAAAGUACAUUGCAAUCCGUUACAAUUUCGUAGUUGGAGGAGCCUUACAUUUUUUUGGAUAAGAGAAUGGAAUGGGUUCUGGAAAUGUGGAACUGAUUUAUGUACACAGACAAAAGGGAGUUGUGAUGUAGCUGGCCACAAAGAACCACUUACCUGUAUUCUGUUCUGGACCUGAAAAUAACCAACCGAGUUUUGUGCUCCAUACUUCUGGUAUGCAGAACUAUCUGUCAAUAAACAAGUCCUACAGUUCCUGCCAUAGGGAGGUUAUGUUUUCAUGAAUGUAUUUCUUCAUUAGAUUAUAUACGCAAUAUUCAUUCAGUUUGGGGACAGCAAAGAGGACCAUGGGAUCAGCUCAGAAGAUCCCACAGCAGGGGAAUCAAACCCCCAGGCACACAGGGAUAUUCAUCACUGGCUUAAUAGUCACCCACCUUAUGAACUGCAUCACACAUCUAAUUAUGGUUCUGGUUUUAAUUAGCACUGUUUCUAAAUACCUAACACUAUUAAUGAGUCUAUAAGAGUGCCCAGACGUAGGGAUAUGACAUCCACACUUACAGGAAUCGAAUACACAAAAAAAUGCUUGUCUGUUCUCUUCUGUAUCUGACAAACAGCCAUAGGUCGUCGGUCAGAUCAUCAGAUGCAAUACACAAAAGAGUAUACUGCAUCUGUUUGGAAAACCCCAGUCAUUUCAAUGCUGUGCUUAAAAUAUUUUUCCAAUUUUUGAGAAACAAAAUCAACGAAAUACCUCUGCUAUAUUAUUCAUGUGCAAUCUUUAAUAUUCUGCGACUUGUUAAGCCAGAUAUUGCUGGAUAUGUUUGAGAGAAAGGGGAAGACAGGAUUUAAUGCUUCUGAAUUGUCCCUUUUGUUAAAUAGGGUACAAUUCAAAAUAGUUUAUGACAUAAUAACUGCUGACUGUGCUGUCUCUUCAUAUAAUGGGUGCAUCUUUGCAAUACACUUUCAAAGAGCCAGAA